rnacentral:rRNA from 1 species
UAAUACGUAGGGUGUAGGCGUUAAUCGGAAUUACUGGGCGUAAAGCGUGCGCAGGCGGUCUAUUAAGACAGGUGUGAAAUCCCCGGGCUUAACCUGGGAACUGCGCUUGUAACUGAUAGGCUUGAGUGUGGCAGAGGGGGGUGGAAUUCCAGGUGUAGCAGUGAAAUGCGUAGAGAUCUGGAGGAACACCGAUGGCGAAGGCAGCCCCCUGGGCUAACACUGACGCUCAUGCACGAAAGCGUGGGGAGCAAACAGGAUUAGAUACCCUGGUAGUCCACGCCCUAAACUAUGUCAACUGGUUGUCGGGGAAGCAAUUCCUUGGUAACGAAGCUAACGCGUGAAGUUGACCGCCUGGGGAGUACGGCCGCAAGGUU